AGAUGGCGACCGGCGCACGGGUGAGUAAUACGUAUCCAACCUGCCGAUAACUCGGGGAUAGCCUUUCGAAAGAAAGAUUAAUACCCGAUGGUAUAAUCAGACCGCAUGGUUUGAUUAUUAAAGAAUUUCGGUUAUCGAUGGGGAUGCGUUCCAUUAGGCAGUUGGUGAGGUAACGGCUCACCAAACCUUCGAUGGAUAGGGGUUCUGAGAGGAAGGUCCCCCACAUUGGAACUGAGACACGGUCCAA
rnacentral:rRNA from 1 species